rnacentral:lncRNA from 1 species
CUUUUCUCAUUUUUCCAAUCCCUUUCAACAAGCCUCUAAUAUUUUUUCAGCCUUGCUUUUGAGGGGAAGGCACAAAGUGAGGCAGAUAUACUGAACAAGGGGAUAUCAAAGGCUGAAUUUCCCCUAUUGCUUUAACCACAUGAAAGCUCUCCAAAUGUAUUCCCUUGCUCCUCUUAGUGGUUUGUAUAAUGAGAUCAGUGGAAGUGAGCACUAACAUCUCCCUGUUCCAUUUGCAGCUGCUGGGAGCUGAAGGAUAGCUGUGCUAUGGUAAUGAUUCUAUUUGAAAAGGGAAUAUUUGCUACUGCAUUCUUUCUUACAGGUUUUGCUGAAAUCUGCAUGUAGCUGGCACUAACUGAAUUCAGAGAAAAAAAUCCAAAAUAAAACCACAGAAGGUCUCAUAGGAAAGAUGUAAAGAAGAUUUACACUGACCAGGCAAGAACAGGUAUAGCACAGACUGGAAUUGAGGAAUACUUCAGCACAUAAAAACUUGAUGUAGUAUCUCCACAGAGAUGUAAGAAGUAAUCAUUCACAAACAAAUGCUAAAAGUUAUUAGGCAUCGGGCUGAAGCAGACAAACACAGGUGCAUGAACACAGAGAUUUCACAGACAAUGGAGCCAGAGCAGAAGACAUCACAAAAACAGGAGCAGCAUUCCCAAAGCCCACAGAGGAGUAGGAAGAAUGGAUCAUUUCUCAAAAGCUGA